UACGGAGGGUGCGAGCGUUGUCCGGAAUCACUGGGCGUAAAGGGCGCGUAGGCGGCCUGAUAAGUAGGGGGGUGAAAUCCUGCGGCUUAACCGCAGGGCUGCCUUCUAAACUGUCAGGCUGGAGCACAGUAGAGGCAGGUGGAAUUCCCGGUGUAGCGGUGGAAUGCGUAGAGAUCGGGAAGAACAUCAGUGGCGAAGGCGGCCUGCUGGGCUGUUGCUGACGCUGAGGCGCGACAGCGUGGGGGAGCAAAACAGGG
rnacentral:rRNA from 1 species